ensembl:lncRNA
GACCAAAUGGGUAGUUCUCCAUCUCUGGUUCCAAAGACUGAGAUUCUGGAUAGCUCCUUCCUGGUGCUCAGCUGAUUUGUAGAUAACCACAGCCAAAGGCAUAAAGUAUAUUGAGCACUCUGGGGUUCUCAUGUCCUUGAUGAGGAGGGAUGCUCUUGUACCUUCUUACAAAACUGGUUCCUUAAACCAUGUCCAUACCCGCCCAGGUUCCCACCCUCUGACAGUGCAUGAGCAUGUCCUAAGGACUAGUGCAAGAGCAAACCUUGGCAAGCUAACCAAUGAUAGGUGAUGCUGAUGUUCUCUUGUUGAAGGAACUAAUACAGGGAGUUUUCUUUUGAAAAAUGGGAGUCCUAUGAGUUGAUCUAGCUUGCCUUUCCUAUCCCUCUUCCCUUCCCUGCCUCUCAGAUUGGGUGUUUGGCUUUUCAGCGCUUUCACUCAAGCCAAAUCUGCAAGCACAUUUUUGGGUGGAUGUCACCAGGAUCCACUUCCUCCUGGCCCACAGACAGUCUGUCUCUUAUCUCACUUACAUUAGUAUCAAUUAUUUACAGCAGUAAUGUUAAAUCAUGAAAACGAGGUUGCAGCAAAGCUGUGCCUUGGCUAAUGCCCCAUGCUGCCUGCAGCUUUUGGAGCCCUUGCGUUGUCUGCAUUUAACCUUCCAGAGAUGUGAUCCUAGAUAUAUUCCAUAUCUCAUGGCUGCAGGUUAGAGCAGGGGCAAGGCACUCACAUCCUCUAUGGCAUUUCUCUCCUUCCUUCUACCAGUGCCAUAGCACUUCUCAUAGCCUAUCAUUUGGGGGAAAGAAGCUCCCUCUGUGUUCACUCUGAUGCCAUGAGCUCUGAGCAGCGUGCUCAUGUUGGCACACAGUCCCUCACCAACUCCUUCAACAACUGCCUGCAUAAGGGAUUUUUUUUUUUGAUUCAUAGUAUUUAACCAUGAAUAUUUAAAAUCUCUGUUAAAUAGGGUUGUUAUACAGCUUAGAACAACAUAAAUACAAGUGUCUGGGCUUUACUUUGGAUCCAGGACAGCAGAAGUGCUUUACCUCUGAUGGAAAGUGCACCACUGAGUGAGGUGACGCUCAGUCUCCUGACCUUGGAACAGUGCCUACUUUUAGACUUCCAGUAACUCAGUAUUUUUCAGCUAAAUCCCUGCUUGCACCAGAGGAGCAAUCCUUUUCUAGCUGUGCUUCAACUGCUCACCUGGCACAUUCCCGCUCUGCUAGCUGCAGUUCUGGGAAGUGAAAAGAAACCUGAGGAGGUAAAAAGAAUGAAAAAAAAAAUGAAAUUUGGAUGUAGAUACUGUGCAGGAAGUGAGGUGACCCCUAAAUCAUAGAAUUAUGGAGUCAUAGCACCAUUAACAUUGGAAGAGACCUCUGAGAUCCCCAAGUCCAACCCCACCCCAUCCCACAGUGCCCACUGCCCACGUCCCUCAGUGCCACAUCUCCACACUUCCAGAACACCUCCAGGGACAGUGACUCCACCACCUCCCUGGGCAGCUGUGUCUCUGCAUCACUGUUCUUUCUGGAAAGAAAUUUUUCCUAAUAUCCAAUCUUAUCCUUCCCUGGUACAACUUAGACAGCUGCCUGCAUGGUCCUGUUGAGCUGAGGCAGAGCUUGCCUUGGCCAGGCCUUUCCCAUUGCUCAGGGGAUGCUGAGGCAUUGAACAAGCUCCGAGCUCAGCAGGUUCUCUGCUGUUGCUCACCCAUGGGAUUUAGGGGAGAUGCAGGUGUCCCCUACAAGGGAGGAUGGAGAACAGGAAGACUGUUUUAAUUUUGAGCUCCUGUGAGUCACUUCAUUAGCCCUGCCUCUGCUUGACCCUCCUGCUGUUAUAUCAGCCUGACUGUUUAUUUUCCUCAUAAAACUAAAACAAGAUCGAUUGCUUUGUCCCGAGGCCCUUUAUGCGUCUUGGUGCCCACUGCAGCCCUGCCGUUAGCAGCAGGCCUAAUGCAAAUUGAAUCUUUGGGAAACGGGCAGUUUGGAGCUGCCCAUCUUCCUCCUCUUUCCUGCUUAAGUUUCAUCUAUUGCAUUUAAAAUAGAAACUUUAUCUAUUUAUUCUAAACAUAAAUAUGCAUUUUUCUUGCUGUCUAUAUGUGCACGGCGUGUCUCUGUUGUAGACACAUAUAUGCGAUCAAUAACCAUCUCUUGCUGGGGAUUUAAAUAUUAGUUUUCCAAAUCCAGUCUAGAGCAUCAGAUUUAUUUUUAUGAAAAUAUACCCUUUCUUGCUUAAGGAGGGAUAUUAAUUAUAGAUGCAAACCCAUAAAUCUUCCGGAUUUAGGUGAGAUAUUUGCUGGAUUAUAAAUAUGAAUUGGAGAUGAGGGUCUUGCUCUUCCUAUUAUUACUAUUAUUAUUACUUACUGGUUAUUAUUUCGGUGUGAUCAGUAUCUUCGGGUGGGUCAAAUAUUGCUGGGGAAUGGGGAGCUGAGCCUUCAGAGGGUGCGCAUGCUGAAUUCAUUAAAAUGUUUUCUAUUCCACCCUUGCUCUCCACUGCGCUUCGCAGCCCGGUGAGUCAUUAAACACCCUGUUCAGAUCACUUCCCUUUCUCUCCAUCCUUCUUUUGGUACCUGUUUUCAUUGUGCUGCUUUUGCCAGAUCAUAUCAAGCUCCCUAGUGUUUAUUAAUAAUGUCCCACAUGCUAUUGACAAUGUGCUGUUGUUUCCGAGGGUCUGCUUCAAUACCAGUCUUGGGCAGCAGUGAAACCAGCGGCCAUCAGAGAGCCCAGACUCACCCAGGGCUUUGGCACAGGUAACAAUAUUCUGCUCCAUUUAUUAUGACAAAUGUGGGAACAAAAGUAGUGUGCCACAAGGACUGAUCCCUUCCAACUCAAAACGUUCCAUGACUCUAUGAUAAUUGCACGUUUCUUGCUAAUUCAGUGCAAACUGAGAUAGGAGUAAGUCACAGUGAUUCUCCCAGCCUUCACCAAGUGCUCCAAAGCCAAGAGGCAUUUCUAAAUCCCAGUUAACAGGAGUUAAAUGGAAGACUUCACCAAGAACAUCAGGGCUUCCUGGUUCCCUGCUGAUCCUUCAACCAUGGGAUGCAAAAGGUGAGAUGCUCGCGGGCAUUAGUAGCAGCAAGAGGCAUGGAGCAAGGCUGGUGUGCAUCAAGAGAGGUUCCUGCAGGCAGCUCUGGCAGGUGCAGCAAUGUAGGGGGCUGCUGACCAAAGGAAAGCACAUGGUGGGAUCUCAAGUUGAUUUAAUGUAACACCCUACCCUGAAAUUAAUAGGACCUUGCAUGCCAGGACUGAAAAGAUAGGGCACUGUGUAAGGUCUGCUUUUUUAAAUUAGAGUCCCCUGCUUAAAUAAAUUAAGUGAGCUGUCAGUAUAUUAAAUGAUUUAAUGCCUUCUCCAGUUUUGCAGUGGAAUCCUAAUGAAAAUACUCUUCAGUAUAAAACGCUGGAUAAAUUAAAUGGUGAAGUGUUUUAAUAAAUGGUCUGUUGUUAUGGUGAACCACAUUAAAGUAAUGUUUAUCUCUAUGGUAAUGAUGUUGCCCUAGCUUUAAAACCAUUUCUGCUGGUUCAGGCUUCUUCAGAUAAAAUAUAAACGCUGAGUUGUUGUCCAGUUUCAAAAGCAUCUGCACAGUUCCUGGACCCAAACCUGAAAUCGAUGGCAGUCGUGCUGGCUGGCCAACACAGGGCUGGAUUCAAUGGAUUCAAGAGCAGAGGACUCUUGCACAUUUGCUCUGUGAUGUCAGCAGGGGGAUGAGGCAGAGCCUCCAAGCUGCAGGGGUGAGGCCCUACACGUACAUUGGGACGAGUUUGGGUAUUAAUGAACUACAGUGGAACAGUGAGUAGGCUGUGGAGGGGCUUAAAAUCUUUGCUGAUCUCAUUGCAGGUUAAGAUAACAAAUUAUAUCUCUUUUAUAUCCUUUAUAUAAGGUAAAGGCCUGCUUUUAAAGGUAAAGACAUUACGAGAAGAUAAAGUCCCUUUUAUAUAAAUUGGUUAUAAAACAAUUUUUAUUUUCUUGCUUUUGGAUAUCAGUUCUUAUUUGACCUCUUUCACUCAUCACAGUAUUUCUUUGGAAGGAAAAUUCUCCCCUCAUGCUAUUUUCAGAGCCUGAAAACCCAGAAAUAACAUCUUAGUGCCCAAAUUAAUUUUACAUUAAUAAUAAUAGUAUUAAUAAAAUAUACCUGUUUGUCCCCAGCUGCACUGAAAGAUGUCACUGGGGCUUACAAGACAGCCCCCAGGAGAAGCCAAAGGGUAGUUCUGGAGAUGCCCAAGAGUCGUCUGCACCAAAGGCUUUUGUGAGGAACUUCCAUGAAAGGAGAAAUUCCAGCAGCUUCUGAACCACAGAGCCAUUCCUCUGGCAGAGCUGAGGUGCCCAUGAGAGUCACCACUGAGGCUGACCACGAUCCAAAAGGAGGGGGUCGUCCCACUCAGUGCUCAGGGAUGAUGUCUUAAAUACUCAUAAUUAAGGCCAUCAAGAAAUCAGGGGAGGAGAAUCCCGUUCAUGCCGUGUGGGUCUCUGAGUGUUCAUUUAAAGAGUGAUCUUUGGUGGAUCUGAGAUAUACAUAAAAACAAAACAAAAACAAAUCCAUAUGAAUUUGAAAUGGUGAAAGAUGGUGAAACUGCUUCUUAGGAAGUGGUUCUGGUGUUGGUUCUGUCCGUUUAAGAAGUUCACCUGUCCCAGCAUGAAUUUUGCAGUGUCAGCUUGCAGUUACCGGCUCUUUUUAUUGCUCUGUCUGCUCGAUUGAAGAGCUUUCCAUUUCUGUCUGUCUGAGCACAUCUGGAUUGUCAUUAAGCCAUCCCUUAACCUCCUCUUUGUUAAGCUAAGCGCACUGGGGUCCUUGAAUCUGUCACUAUAAGGCAUGUCUUGCAAUGCUUCCGUCAUUCUUGUGUGCCUCCUCGGAGCCCUCUCCCAUUCAUCAACAUCCUUCUUGAGCUGCAGACACCAGAAAUAGCUGCAGGGUCCCAGCAGAUGCUACACCAGAGGUAUUCCACUCUGCUAUUUGUUUGAGCUUCCAGCGCUGUGCUAUAGGAUCCCUCCUCCCCCUGAAUGCCAUGAAAUUCCAGUUCCCAAGUGUGGCUUUGUAUGUGCAUGUGUUGAACUGGGUGGUUUUUUCUUCAAUCUGACUCAGGAGAAGGCUGAUCCUCAGCCCCACCAUGAUCCAAAUCGAACUCAUCAGCGAACUUUGAUUGUAAUUAGUUUUGAUUUUCUACCAUUUUGCUAAAAGUGAUGAACUGAAACACAGCCACUUGUGAUGAGUGUCUGCACGCAGCCGUACAUUUAAACAUAUCAGUGGGGUUUUCAUCCGUUUAGUGCGUGCCGUGUUGAUUUUACAUUGUUUUAGCUUCCUAAUAAAUGAGACAACAUUAAGUCAAAUGCCUUGCAGAAGUCAAACGUAACAGUGUUGAUGAAAUGUACUAAAUCAAUCAAAUCUAUAAUCACAUUCUUGAAAAAUUAUAUCAAUUUCAUUUAAUAAGAUCUAUUUUCCAUUAACUCAUGUUGAUUGUAAUUAAUUAUUCUCCUUAAAUUGUUAUUAAUCAAGUCCCCUAUCAGCUCUUCCAUUAUUUCUCACAAAAUCAACAUCAGAUAAUCAGAUUUAUAAUUACGAGCGACAUUCCUACGCUGGCACAAAGUCAGCAGCACUCGGGUGUGCUGCGUUCUUGGAGUCCGGGGCACGAGUUGGAGCUGGAGGUAUUUCACACAGUCCUAUGACAUUGCUAAUUUACUUAGCUUUUCCCCCGAAAUUAGAGGAAUUAAAUAUUUAGUGUCUGCCUUCUAUGUAUUUUCUAUUUAUCAUCUGCUAUUCUGUCUAGACAACCACACUCAGCCACUGAUAUCUAAAAACCACAUCCCUACUGCUCUUGGCUCUGCUAGCAGAGGUCUCACCUGCUGGCCUUCUGCUUGCUGUUGGUUAACACAUUUUCCCUUUGUGUGAAGGUAGACCUCCCCUUCCUCCCCCCCGAGUCUCUGCUUUAACCAGAAUAACCUUCUCUCUCUGAGCGCUGAGAUUUCACUAGAUGCCCUAAAAGCCAGAGUGCUUUUAAACAACGAGUUGCCAAAUAUCACACACAUUUUCUCUUCAAAAUCCUCCAAGUGACCUGGCUUACAGUGUUGAAAAGAAAAAGUGUCUGCUAUCUGCUCAGGCUUCGUUCCAUCUGAGCCCUGCACAUAAGGUGGAAAUGGCAUCCCCUCCGUGUUGGCUGUAAGUGGUUUUUAGAGCUGCGAUCAGCUCUUCAGCUGUCAAGACCAUCCUGCAGAGAAUCCUCCUGAUUUUGGUUAACAACGGCAUUUAUAAAUUCCCAAAAUUGGCAACACAAGCCCUCCAGCUCACAGCAUUCAAGUUCAGGUUUUCCAAGACACUCUAUAGGAAUUUUCCUUAAAUGUUUCUGGUUUCUGGUGAGAUUUGAGCAGUGUCAUCCAUUGGCUUUUACUUGUACUUGAGGUCACUUUCUCUUGAGCUCCCAGUGACUUGGAUGGCGGCAAUGUCACUUCUGGUAUUGAUUGUCCCUCCUACACCUUCUUUGCCCACUCAGUUUCUUUUUUUUGCAAAUAGGUUCCAGCUAUUGAUUUUAAUAUUCCAGGCACAUGGAUUUUCUCCCCAAGUUUAAGUCAUGCUCUCCAGAUAGAAUUUGUACUCAUAAAUUAGUCGUUCCCACUCUUUUUUAUGGCUCAGCCUUCCUGCGCUACCGUAGAGGCAAUUAAAGUUCUUCUCCUCGCAUCCUUUCGUGUGUUCAUUAGCUCUCUCCUCAUCAUUUUCUUCCUUGAGCCAGAGACAGGGACGGGUGCGGAAUGAAUUCUGUUUCCUCAUUGCUUUCCAGUGCCUGUAUCUCCAACCCAGUCCAAGCAUCCCUCCCAGCAGAAAAGCUAGAGCCCAAAGAGCCAUUGGGAGCACCACAGCAGAAGGGAAAACCUUUGCUGAUCUCAGCACUGACAGGUUUUGGUGGCAAUGAGCUGAUGGUUGGACUAGAUGAUCUCAGUGGCCACUUCCAAAUUCUACAAUUCUAUGAUUUUGGGGUCAUCAUGGAUGUAGAAUGAUUCAAACUCCAUUGUGCAACAGUAUCUGAUCUCCCAAAUUCUCCUGGCAGCCAAUUCCCCAGCUCAGCCCUACUGCAACUGCUCCCCAGACACACUGAACCACAAGGAAAAGCCAUUUGGAUUGUGCUCUCUUGCUUUCAUGUCCAUGGGGGAUUUCCUGGGAUUUUGCAAGCCCCAGGGAUUGAGGGCAAAGCCAACAGAGAAGCAGACCUGUGCUUAGGGCACCUGCACAAGCUAGCCUGCAGGCUUACAGCUUCACUGUGGUUUGAGGUUUGAAGGUUUCCUAUCAGCUGCUCAUCUCCUGCCUUUAUGUAACAACAAUAACAAAACACACAAAAAUAUCCCUCAGAAAAUCCAACCGUCUUUGCUCUUGCAGGUCCUGAACUGUUUGCCUCUGAGGGCAGAACACAGACUUUGGAUGGUUUUGAGAAGUCUCCUGUCUGGGUGGUUUUAUUUAUAUCUGAUGCAUUUUAAUGCAGAAUGGGCAGAAAAGAGAUGCUUCAGAGCAAAGUCAAAGCAGAGCAGUUCUGCAGGUCCGGCCCUCACUGGGUUCAGUGGUGGGAUGUGCUCAUCACCCCCUCUUCAAAAUAACCCCCCACGUCUCUUUUCAUCCAACAAAACAUUUAGGUGCAUAUCUGCGAGUGAAGGAGUACAAGAGAAGGAAGCAUAAGGCUGUAAAAUAAACACUCUACAAAAUGCCUCCAGGUUGCUCUAAAUUAUGCAUCCUUCCUGUUAGGAGAUGUUCAAGGUUGUCUUUUCCUGUGAACAGCGCUCCUCCUGGGUCCUCACCUUCAUUUGCUGGGAUGCCUCUGCUCUGGGCUUGCAGUUACGUCUCCUUCCCUUUCGCUGCCUUUACAACCAUUUCUUUGCCGCCUUUUAUAAUUCAGAACACGACAAAUGAAUUCCCACCUCAGCUCAGCACUCAGAUGAUGGGAAAGGGAUAAACGGUCCCUGGUAGCAGCUCAGUGCACGGUGAGCAUCACUGCAGCCCCGUGCGGUGUUUUUUCCCUGCGCACAUGCAGGACAGACGGGCGCAGGAGUGGAGCGAUGCUCACAGCCCCAGUCCCUGGUGCAGAGCUGGGAGCAUCAGUGGGGCAAACCGUGGCCAAAAACACACGGACUCUUCUGGGAAACGGCCCAACCCUCUCAUUUCUGUAAUGUGAUUGGCACAUGGCUUGGUUUUGCAUUCUGUUUCUAAAGGAUAGCUGCUAUUCUUUUUAUUAAAACCUCUAAAUUUCAUUAGUUUGCACUUACCAAAAUAAACCUGGCAUCACUAGUGAGCUCUCCUGCGGCCGUGCCAUCGAUCUGAUGCAGCCCCGCGUCACACCUGGCACGGUGACAGCCGCGUCCCUCCAUGCUGAACACAGGCACCCGCUCUGCCUGGAGGCUGAGAGGCAUUUUCAUGGAGUUCUGUGAUGAGGAACUUUGCUUCCAAGUUUCAAGGGGGAAAAAAAGAAAAAAAGAAAAAAAAAGAGAGAGAGAGAGAGAGAGAGAGAGGUUGAUUGUAAAUUUAAUUCCUGUAUCUUAGUCAUUUCUGGGCCAUGGGUCAUUAGGCACACAUUAGUGCUGCUGGGCAUUUUUCACAGGGGCUGCACCAGCAGAAAGGAGCUGGGUUUUGCAAAGCCAAGGGUGUGAGAGAGAUCCGUGUGCAUGAGAAAGCUCAGUCCUGUGCUCAGCCCCGCAGUGCUGGGAAGUUCCCCCAAAUACUCCCGGUGUCCGUCUGUCCGCAGCCAUGACAAACAGCCCGGGGAAGCAGGCUCCUUUAAUGGGCUCCAGCAUUUUAUUUAUAGCCCCUUCGAAUAAGUGCAGCUGAUACUUAAGAUCGGCGGAUUUAAUGACAGCGAGCUGGCGAAAGGCCAGGGCUGCAAAUAGCGCCGCUAAAAGUCUUCUCCGCUAUAAAAUUUGUUUAAUGCAAGAAAUCAUCCCGUGCAGGUUUUUUGGCUGGCAUUUUUAUAAUUAGCGGGUGAAAUCGCCAUUUCGCCCCUACGAUCCGCCAGCACUUUAUGGGAUGGGGCUGCCUUGGAGAUGGAUUGUUGUGCUGGAAGAGGCGCUGAAGCUUUGCCACUCCGUAUCAUCCCACUCUUCCUCGGGGACACCCAUGUAUGCCCACUCCCAGCACCUUUCCCUUCCCUCCAGGUGUCAUCUCUCCGAGGUUUGACCAAGAGCCCAUCACACUAAGUGGUAAGGCAGCACGGCUGGGAGCUGGGAACUUUGGGAUCUGUAGACAUGCACUGAAGCCACCACACUUGGUUGGUGUUUGAUAACUUCGCCGCUUUUCACUAAGGAGCCCUCAGGUGAGCGCCUGCCGUGGGGUUGUAGAGGUGGGGAGAUGUCUUCUCUUCCAGCACAGAGCCCACCUGGCUCACAAAGGGCUUUUCUGGGUGUUGUACAGGAUGGCUCUCUCUAAAGGAGCAGUGCCAUAAAAAAAAUAUCUGUUUGAGAUAAUAAAAGGCAAACAAAACGCUGGAAAAACAUUGAAGGGUUGGAAAUCCUCCUAGGUUUUGCAGUUAAAUUUACCGAUGCACUCAGGAGCUCUCUAUGAGCUUCCCUGGGAAUCCAGAGGACAUGGGAUUAUCCUGAGCAUCUUGAUGGGAUAUUUUUCCCUGCUGUUUGCACCACGCGAUAAUGUCCUCUGGACCUCCUGCCCUGCAGAGAUUUCGGCCCAGCUCUCUCCUGUACAAAGAUGAACCAUGGGUGAGCCCUGGCCAGCUCUGUGAUUUAGAUUUCCCAUCGCUUGUCUGCGAGCUGGGCUGAUAUUUAUGGACAUGCUCUGGAUCGGAGCAGCCAGGCUGAUAUCACCGGAGGCAAGACCUGAAUCAGACGCGGAGAAAUCAGCUAUUUAAAUGCACCGGAGUUGCUGCGCUCCCAUUAAACCCCAAGAAACCCAAUUGCAGUUUGGAGAUAGAGGACCUCCCCAUGGCAGUGGGCAGCAUCACCACCCCAUCCCUGGACAGCCACGAGCCACACAGGAUUUCUGCCUGAAUUAACCUUCAUUAUUCAAAUCCCACCCAGAACACAGGUAGUGGUACCGACUCAGUAAGAUGAGAAUGCUUUUGUAGAAACGUCCCUGCCAAGAGCAAGUUACCCUUGGACAGGGAGAUAGGGUUUUGUGAUUGCAGUUUUUUGCAUGGAUGAUGUCCUUGCCUGUCUCAGAGAGGCUCACUGUAAAGGCUCAGAGGUUGGGUGCCAUUGCUCUGCAGUACAUGGGCAUGUCCAACCCACAGCCCCACGAGCUGCAGAUAGAUGAGGAGGGUAAUGUAAUUCCAUCUUUGGAAAUGUCAGACUUUAUGGAUGAAUAAAAUACAUUCCAUUUUCUUCUGUUUAUCAAUAUCGGGUGAGAACAGACUAGAAAUUGCUUAUAAAUGGAUAGCAUCAGGAGAGAGGCCAUCUAUUUGUUAUCUAUAGCAGAAGCUGAGCACUGAUCCUACUGUGGCAGCCACAGGUCAUAGAAUCAAAGAAUCACAGAAUAUCCUGAGUCAGAAGGGACCCAUGAGGAUCACUGAGUCCAGCCCCAUCACCUCUGCAUAGAAUACAAUAAAUGACUAAAAUAGAAAAGCGAGGCAUGGAUAGAAGAAAGAGCAACGUCGGGUUCUCCUCCGUUCAGCCAAUAAUUCUGACUACACAGUGUUUAAUGUUUGGUGAUGCCAUGUACUGGUUUUUCCAUAAGAUGGUCUCAAAGCCGCUGUGUGCUCUGAGUUUCGAUGGGAAAUCCACGGUGCCAUGUGAGGGUGGGCUCCCCAGAGCUCCAUGGGGUGUGCAGGAGGGAUACAGUCCCCAACAGCACCAUAACGGUUAAAGGAGAGAUUUCAGGAAGGGGAACAGAACAGCAGAGAGUGAACUUUGCAGAUAAAUUAUAGCUAAAGAGGAAUGAAACAUUAUAGUUUCAAUUACUGCUGUGCCCAGCCACGCAGGUAGUAAUUCAAACAAGAAACAAUUGGCGGAUUGUCACCCUCAAAUCAGACACAUACCAUUUAAUUCCAUUUACUGAGGGUUCACUGACUGUAUUUUGAAUCAAAUACAGCCAUUAAUGUGCAAAGAUCUGAAAAAUGCAUGUGUCCCUUUUACAAAUGUGACAAUGAGACGCUAAUUCCUGUAAAGCCCUUUUUUCUUCAGGUUGGACUGCUCCUAUUGCCUUUAGUUAUGCAGAUAUUACUUAUUAAGAGUUUUAAUAUGUCAGGCUGGUUCUUUUGAAAUGCCUUGUGCCUUUUUGUUCAGAGCGUGCGGAAAGCGCAGCUAAAUCCAUUCUUACGUUCCAUCAUCCAAACUUAGCAAAUUGAUUCGAAUGCAGGAAAAAAAAAAAAGCUACUUUCAUUAAAACAAUUAAAUCCUUACUAUUAUUGCUGUAUCUGGCUAUUACAGCACAAAUAUAAAUCAUCGGUUACAGGAGCUAAAAGCUUUCAGCUGGAAUUGCUCUACCGUCUGCCCCAUGCCAUGGGCAGGGAGGAAGGAUGACGUGCACCAGGCUUCUUUAUGGGAGAUGCUGCUGCCUAAAUAAAAAAGUCAAGUCCAUAAAGUGAAUAUUAUUGUGCUACCUUGUUUCUCCCCAGCAGUGAAGCAAUGCAUGCCAAUGGGCAGAGCGAAUAGGAGGAAAUAGUUGGGUUGGUUUUCCCUCUCCUCGUGAAUUGGGGGACAUUUUGGAAGGGGCACAAAGGUUUCGGGGGCAGUUGAGUGCUUUUGUUUUCCUUUUCUAAAUAAACCACGGAUCUGCACUGCCACACACUCCCCCCGUGGGGUCACGAAGUGUGCUGCAGAAUAAAAACGGAGCUUUCUGUGAUAGUGCACUUGCCCUUCAGAGCCGCUUGGAUUGCAUCAAAGGGCAAAUUGUUUAAAUAUAAUUUUCCUGAUUACUGAAUAGGUCGACCGAACAGGAUAUGAAAUGCAAAGGCUUUUCUCAUCUUGCUCUUUGCAUCAUCCUAGGGCACACCUCGCUACAGGUGCUGCCUGUUGGCUCAAGGACACUUCCAGGCGGCAGAAUAUCAAAGGAGCAGGGAUGGACAGCCCAGUGCAUCCUGCACAUUUUAAAUUGCUUAAAAAGACUCUUUUGCAAAGGGAGUCUGAGGCAGGGACCGAAAUCAGUGCUCAGCAUGUGGAUUAGACAAACAGAGUGGUCAUUAGCGCUGAUUGUCAUUGUCACACAAGCACAGACUGUUAAUUCAGCCCAGGAGUCAUUAGAAACGAGCCUCAGCGGGGAGAGGGGUUGGUGUUGGUGUAGAUGCUGGAUGGUGGCUCUGCUGGCUUGGCAGAACAUGAAGGAGACCCCUGAGAUCCUACACUGCUCCGGUUGUAAAUUCCAAAUGGAAACUCCCAGGAAUUUGCCAGGAAAAGGAUAAUCACUCAUUAUUCUCAUUUGUGGAAAGCUGUUUAAACCCAGCCCUGCUUUUCUCUCCCCAUUCCCAAGCUGAGCUCAUCACCUUUCUGAGAAGCCACGCUCUUCCAGGACAGUGUCUCCUCUUCCAGCGGGCUUUUGCCCUGGCUUUUCUCCUGGGUCCAUUUGGGAGGGUUCCAUCUUUGCCCCAGUGCUUUUGCCAGUGGCUGCCACCAUCCAGAGAGAUAUUCAGCCUCAAGGAGUCCCCAGCAAAGAGCACCCACUGCCUUCCAGCCUCACCCCAGCAGCAGCGUUGAGGUCCCACAGCUGCAGAGCAGCGCCCGUUGUGCUGUGUGGGUGCCCCUUUAUUGGAGUUCCUCCCACCACGUGCUUGUAAUUUAUUUGUAUUUCCAGCAGAGAUAAUUGAGUUAUCAAUUCUGUGCUCUUUUGGGCCAGAAGCAAAGAGAUCAGAGAGCUGUUUUAUACACCUAAUUAUAGAUUAUUUCCCAUAGCUAUAAAACCACAGAGGGACAGAUCCAGAGAGCAUCCUUUUCAUCUCCACUGACUUUUCCCUUUGCUCUCUCAGACUCGGAUCAGAAGGGCCUCCAGACAAAACAGUUGUCAAAAGCAAGGGCUCCUUAUCUCCUCACAGGACAAAACCUCUCGGCAUCCCAGUAGAGACCGUGCACAGUUGCUUAAAGAUCAAAUUCAACUUAUACUUAACCAAUCUGCUUAAGCCUUUAGCACCUCAUUGAGUCGUGCUGAGAUUUAUUCCGUUUCUGCACACUUUGGCUAUAAUCUGGUUCAUGACAAUGGCCUGGGGGUCUGCUGAGGAUGUAAAAAAUUGAUUUUCUUUGCCACAUGCAGGCUUUGUGGGCUUGCACUUGGCAUGGCCCCUCAUGCCCCUGCUAGCUCCUAUGCUCAGCCUGCUCCCUCCUCCCCAGGCAGCUCUGAGCACCCUGCAGCAUCCGCAGAUCCCGCAGAGCUGCAGUGCAGAGCAGGGGUUGAGGUCCGGCAUACCCGAAUUUUCUAUGUAUGGAAAGAAAUGGGAAGUGUCCGUGCGUCGGUGUUAAGUUUCUGGUGGUGACACGCAGAGGCCAUCCAAGAUGUAUGACCUAGCAAAUGUAUUGUAACGCACACAUCACAUUCGUUCUCUGGGUAAAUAGAUAUUGUCUAGGGUACAUUACAUCUGUGCCUUCGUGUUUAAUUUAAUGUAAGUGAACUGCCUUAAUUUCUCCAAAUUGUAGUAAUAAACAUAACGUUAACGGUGAUACUGCUAAUAAUUUAUUUUGCAAGCGAUUAAUCAACAACAAACUCUUUUAAUUACCUGUUCUGAAAUGUCAAACUCUAAACUAAUUACAUGUUAUUACAUGAAUUCAUGUAUAUGUAUACACAAAUACGAAUUCCAAGGGUAAUUAAAAUGAAUAAACCAUCAGAUUUGGUAAAAUCAUGCAGCUGAGAGAAGUUUGCUCUCCACUGCAUUUCUGCCUCUUUGCAUUUCAUCCUCAGCACAAAGGGAGCUAGAUUCCAAGGCUCUGAGCGAGUCGUUUGUGCUUCUGCAAAAAAAUAUUACCCACAGAAAGUGGCAAACCCCGUGGGAUCUAUGCUGAGAACCACAAGGAAGAGAGGAAAGCAGCUGUGCUGCUCUGCUGGGGGGAGUACAGAGUGUGGGGCUCAUUUGGGUGCUCCCUGUGCAGGGGGUGAAACCAAGCAGGACAGAAGUGGGUGGUGUACAUUUGCUGUACUCAAUAAUUGGCAACGAUUUUUGGAAGGAGAUUGGGGGUGAAAUUAACAGAUUUGGGGCACGACCAAAUCUGUUCUCCAUUUUGUGUCCUUGUUGAGUCUCUCCGUGCAGGCACAACACAGUGCUCUUUGCAACACCCUGGUGACCCCUAGAUGAGAUUUGGAAGACCACUUCUUUGCACUGGCACUCCAGACAUCAUGGCCAAGUGCCCCCAGCAAUGUGGGGCUGUAUGCCAGUGGGUCACGAAAGGAUGGAGACCACCAGCUUGGAGGGUCUGGGAAUGAAGCCUUUAAUUCAGGGGUGGACACUGAGGCAGUCCCAAUGGCUUGCAGCAUGGGCUGGAAGAACAGGAUGAUUAAUGAGAGCAAUGGCACGAAGGAGCCAGGAACUAAGUAAUGAGACCUUUAUUUGAUACAUAAUACAGCCGGGGCCCUCUAUAAAGAGAAUACCAAGAGUAGGGCUAAGUUUCACAGUUCUGGGAAUGUAUCAGGAAGGGGGAAAGCUUUGCUGACUUUGCAGCCAAACGCCUGGGCCAUCCGCAAGUGUUGUUCGCAGUGAGCUUGGGACAUGUUAAUUUGGUCAUAUAUCUUCAGAUGGUGGCAAGAUGCCCUGACUUUUGAUUUACUGUGCUGAGUGGGUCUGUGUGAUGUUGUGGGUUUAAAAUGAGGUGUCCAGAGCCUGAUUCAGUCACAGGAUCACUGAAUUCCAGCUGGGAGAUGAAGAAGCCGUUAUACACACACAACAAGAACUUCCAGCCAAAAAUUACUUAUGGUUUCAAUUAAAGGAGAAGAAGUUGCUGAUUGUUUAGGUAUGGAUGUCAGAAACACAGCAGUUAACAGCAGAGAUGAAUGAGAGAUAGUGAGGUGAUAACUUAGAUAAAUUGGUAUCUCAUCCAUAUUAAGGAGACAGCUCAUCCUCUGGUGCUGCUGGAUGACAUGAAGAGUGGAGUGUAUAUGGAUACUAAAAAACGUUGGUCUUAAAGUUAAAUCCCCAAGAACCAUCAGAAAUAAGUCUCAGAAGCCAAAGUGAGAUCUGAUGCACGCUGCAAAAAUAUGCAGUCUGUCAGGGAACGCUGCUCUCUCCAUAUAACUUCCACCGUUUGUGGGACAAUUAUAGAGAAAAUGAUACUGUGAUCUGUAAAGCAGUUCCUGCAGUGGUUUUAUUCACUAACUCGAUGCCACGCAUAAUCAUAGCCAGUAACAUCUCCAGAGGUGUGUGCAUAAUAGAGAGACAUCAAGUCAAUGAGUCAAAACAUCAGAAAAUAAAAUUCAGAUGAACAUCACUUGCAGAAAUUCUAUCAUCUGUCAUUUAACGCUGUCUGAAGACCUCCACGUUGAAAUAAGGCGUGGAAACCAGAAGUUACCCCAGGCAGCAGUCCUUAGGACCUGCACGGACUCAGGGUUCUCUGCAAGUUGGGUUGAGUGCCAAAGAAGUUCUCUUGCGAUCUUAAAACUCAAGCACCCAAAAAACACCAUAGAGGGGAAGGCAGGGAGCAGGGAGGGUCUGUCCUGCCGUGUCCCCACCUCAGAUCCUGCCCAGCAUCACCCAAGCAGCUGCUGCUGGGAGCGGAGUUGCUCCUGGAUCACCUUAAGGCUAUUUGCAGCUCUUGCUGAUGCCCUUUCAAUACCCAAUCCCGAAACUUUUCAUGCGAGGAAGCUUGCAGGAUGACAGAUUGCACCUUAAAACAAAGAGGUAAUAGCUCUUAGGUCCAGAUCUGUUCUUGGAACUAAAUUCACUGCAGAAGAAGUGUUUCUGCACAACUGCAUAAUGCCUCAAAGUGGCAUUUUACAAUCUUUAAAUUCCAACACCGAUGAAGAAUUCUGCUUUAAACUACUGCAGCAGCCCAGCCCCCCUUUAUUUAUGAGUAAUAGGCUUUUCAUUUAGAUUUAACUACAGAUUUGAGUGGUUUCCAUGUGCCAGGGCUCGGAGUCACACCAGUGUCUCCUGAGGUGGCCGUGCUGUUUCCACAGAGUCACUCGGGAUCCCCAACAAACCUGUCUUUGCAUACAUACGUGUGUAUUUUAUAUAGAUGUACGCAUGCACUUCAUUUUUAAAAAGACAAAGUUUUUAUUCCAGGCUUCAUUUUCCUUUAAACCGUAUGAAGCCAAAGUUCGAAAGGAUGACCCAAAAUUGCCAGUUUGAUUGUAAUUUCCCCCAAAAGAUUUUGGGUUGUAGGUACAUAGAGAACGAUGGCUUUGCUUCCUCCUUUCUGCUCAUCAUCCCAUGCAAUGCUGAUGUGCCAGGAAGCGUGGAUGGGAUCAGGGAGCUUGGUGAGUUUGCCACAUCAGUAGUCACUGAGAGUGCCUGAAGUUUCAUUUUUCAAUGGAAAGCUGCAGUGAAACGAGUAUUUUGCUACUCAUCUUGUUAUUAUUCAUCAGUGCUUCCAAGAACCUCUCAGCCCUUUGUUUCUUGGGAAAGGCAUGGUGCUUAAAGGGGCUGAAAGGUGGAUUUUGUGGAAAGCCCAACCCACAUCUUUGAUCCCAGCGGUUUUGUAAGGCAUUCGUUUUGCUCGCUGGGAAAAUCUCUGCCCUCCCCACUCCCUCACCUCCCUCUCUUUCCCCUCCACCUAAGUUACCUCGUCUGGAUCCGAAGGAACGCUUGCCAUCCUUUGAAGAGGUAGUCUCGUCCGAAAAAUCAAUAGUCAACAUUGUCUUUAAAUAGUCUGACAUUUACCUUUACAGCAGUUUUCAUUUCUUUCCCAGAUUGCUCAGACGUUUGUAUUACCCACACACUACAUCCCUGAUCUCUCGGCCGGGAGCUUUGCACGGAUGCAGCCCCGGUGCUGCAGAGCGGCCACCAGCAAGGAACUGCAGCACGAUAAUUAACAGGACGGGAGCUCACUAAUAGAAGCAUCUUUAACUAAUUUAUGGAAGACAUCAGGUGAGAAUAAUUACAAGCAGAAGGGUAUUGUAAAUCCCUGAAGAAAAUACACUUGGAAUGCAGUUUUCCCAACAAGCAAAUCUGAAUGCUAGCCCAAAGGUCAGAAAUAAAAAGGCUGAGAGCUUCAGCUCCCCGAGCAGGCACCUCUCCGAUCCCUUCUUGUCAAGAAAUUGUCUGGGGGUUCAUUUAGAAAGCUGCUUGUUCAGGGCAGGGCCAUUUGCAAUCUGGGAAAGUUAAGCAAAUUAGCAGAAUUAUUAGGUAAGAGGCAAUUCUCCACAGCCUGCAAGGCAACCGCUUGUUAAAUGAGCUCACACCAGAGAGUUGCACUGAUCGAGUGGUGUUUGCAGAGACGGGGCUGUGCAGGCAUUUGCUCUGAAAUAAUACUGCUGUAUUCCCCUGGAAAAAUUAAAAAAAAAUGGGAAUUUGUGCAGGCUGAGCUGGAAGAUGCCUCUGUCUUCCAUACGCAUUCCUGCUUCUCUGCUCCUUCUGCUAUAAUAAAUAUCAUAAUCCUAGCAAAUGAGAGAAGGAGAUUAACCCGACACCUUUAACCCAGUUACUGCUUAAAAUAGGGAGCAGUGUGGUGCCACGAGGCCCCAAAGCAGGUGGCUCUGCACCCGCUGUCCCCUGGGGCUCAUAGGGACAGCUGUGCACUGCAGCCCCGCUGCUCUGUGCAGUGUUGGGAGUGGGAUCCAACUCAGGUCCUGCAAGGAGCCCACCCAAGGGUGGCUCACACUGCUCACUUGUUUUUCUAUACUCUUUGCCUAUUGAUUUGAUAUUUUUAUACCUUAUACAGUGCACUUAGCACAGAAAAAAAAAAUGGAUUAACCAAGUAAAUGUGCUUUAUUAGCGGAUCUCUGAUGGAGAAUGAUGUCGGUUUUCCAUUUAAAAGAUGCAUCGGAUUCAUCCACUCAUGAAUCAAUUAGUUCAUGCUUGAGGACCUCCUAACAUGCCACAUAAAAAACUCCCAAUGUCAAACUGCACGCUGGGUGGAACAACCAAGGGUUUCAAAUGAAAAAAGUGCAUCACUGGGAAACCUUUGGCUCUUCCACCACCACUAGGAUGGAAGCACUCUGCCCAACUCUUAGUUAACACAUUCUUUCUGUUCCUUGGUUUCUUAAAAUCUUUCUUUUUUUCAAGUUUUUAUUGACAGCUUUACACUCCUCCCUCUGCUAUACAAUGGAGACGGGCACAUAUCGUAAGCCUUUCCAAUGGUAGUUUUGGGGUCAGGCUGAUUAGAUUUGGGAAGUGUCAAUUGUUGAAUGCUGUCCUCCUUCUGUCUGAGACUAACAACUCUCCCUACUCAGAGGGUUGGCCCUCUUUCUGUCCUUCCUGAGGUUUAGGGCUCAUUGGUCCAUGCUCCACACCAUGAAAAGGCACAUACACUUUCCUAGUGAUUCACAUUUCUGCUUAGAUAAGAACCAACAGGCUCCAUCCCACCCUGGAGCCCCUGGGACUAUGUGGAAGGUCGCAGUGUUUAUUUUUGGUCUUGUCCAAUUAAAGACAAUGACCUGGAGUAGAUGAGAUGCCUGGGCAUGCAUUCAUAUCACAGGCAUAAUGCAAGAACCGUAGGCAUUUAAAUGGGAAUUCUUUCUCACCCGGUUAGACCGAUGCGUAAGGAAAUAAUCCAAGUGGGGCAUUGACAAGAUAUUUUUUGUUGUAAGUCUGCAUGCUAAAACCCCUAAAUAAAAGGAUUUUACUCCUUGAGAGAAAGAGGAAAGGCUAUGCACACCCAGCCUGAGGUGUCACUACAACUCAAUGGGAGCAAUGCACGAGCACUGAGCUGCUGGGAUGGCUGCCUGCACAUUGGGUGCCCACACUAUGUACAGAGCAGAGGGCACUGCUUAAACCUCAGUCAAAUAAGUAAACAUGGACAAGGAAGUAAAAACAGACGCACUUUUUUCUCAUUGCUGCGAAGAAUUCAGGCCAUGCAAGCACCAGGGCUGUGCAAAGAAGAGCAACUAUGUUUAAGAGCAUCCUUCUCUCUCUUGGAUGUACAUCCAACAGCAGAUAACAUCACCCAGCCCUUUCUGCUUUUGGAAACCAUGUGCAGCACAACUUGCUGCUCACAUUUAAUCCAAACUGAUGUCCUACGGCUGUCAUAUGCAUGAUUAUGGCAGUCGUUUUUAAUUAGUGAUUGUGUCAAUAGUAUUGACAUUUUCAUCACUUUUGGGGGAAGUAGAGAAUAUUUUCCAGCAGGUGAAGUCCCCUCUUUGCAGUUCUCUUCCCCUCCAGCUGCACCUACUGGAUAAAUGAGCUAUGCAUCUUAUUAAAAAGAAAGCAAGAGCAUUAAGUCUGUUCUCUGCUUAAGUACAUUACAGCAACUUAGGCAACACGAAACUCAAGAAAGGCAGAAAAGCAAAUACCCUCUGUCCUAUGGCAAGAUUUACAAUCUUGUUCUGAGUGCAAUAUUUAUUAUACGGCUUAACAGAAGCUCUGGCAGGAUGGGGGAAAUGCUGGCGGCCCCGUGACGAGGAGGAGGCGUUCAAUAGCUUGCUGGGAAGUGGAGUUGGACACGAACUGAUCAACCAGCCAUUACACUCAGUGAUAAACACCCUGCAGGAGCCAUCAUUCACCCAGGAAGAAAGAGGAAGGCAGAUCAUUACAUUUAUUGGUCAUAGUUUUUAAAGAGUCAAUAAAGACCCACUAGAAAAGACACGGUUAGGAGCAGGAAUAUAUAUAUUUUUUUCAUGUAUCUUGAAAAUACCUUCAGCUCAGUUUGCUUUCUGCCCAAUACGUCAGGGUGAAUCUUCAUCCUAGGUGAUGGUCCCAGUGUAGACGGUGCUCAUAUUGUACAGUUUUUAAUGUCUUUAACCAUCUUUAGCUUUGUACCCUGAUAGCCCCUCCAGGCUAUAUGUCAAUGCCAUCUGGGAGUAAAAGAAGAGACUUCUGCUCAAGUAACGCUGUAAUGUAGAUCUCUCGACUAAAAUUGCACUUCCUUCACUUGACAAACUGUCAGCACAGAACAAUUAUCUGCCUGUUGGUUUGCUUGUCUUUUCUUUUUUUCUCCUCUCAGAAAAAAGAAAAAAAAAGAAAAAAGAAGAAGAAAAAAAAAACCAUACAAAGGAAAAGGACCUGCAGAGUAAAAUGCCGUGGGCAAAAUCCACAUAAUCUGAUUGCUGCGCCCAGAGAUGCAUUGGUGGACCACCAAAGGUAAAAGUGGGUCUAAUGCUAAAGGAGAGGGACAAUUUCUAGCUCCUUUCUUUCGGGGAUUUCCAGAGAGGAUAUUGCUAAAUAGAAGAUUAGGGAGGAAGAGGCAAGAGUCAUUAGACCCCUCUGCUUGUCUUGAGGGAGAAACCAAAACAGGCUGGAAGAGUCCAAAGCUUGAGUCCUGCUCAACAAGCUGAAGGAACCAUUUGAUUUUUCUCUCCUGGUAAGAAAGGAUGAGGAUGAUGUCUUUAGGGAAGAGAGCCAACCUGAUUUUUUGCUAGCCAUCUUGGUGUUAAUGGGACCGUGCAGUUCAUUUGGAGAAUACCCACAAAGCAUGAGUAGAGCCCCAAGAGGUGUAAUCUAAAUUAGUGGGUAAAUUUAUUUGUGCACUUUUUUUUUACUGUUUUAUUUUCCUUCUUCCCUUCUGUACCACCUCUUUUGCCACCUCCUCUGCUUCACCUGACAGAUGAAUGUGUUCAGGUCUUUGGGACAGAUAAUGUGUCUGUAUCCCUUUUAAAAGUCCUGUACAAACACUAUGGAUAGGAGAGUGCAGGUGUAUUUAGUCUGGUGUGUUUAGCAGAUUUAGAUUAUGAAUUACUGCUCAAAAUAACGUUUGCAUUUGCUGACAAAGGUCUUUAUUACAGAAGAGGUCAAGAAAAAAAGAUUAUUCCUGCUAAUUAUCCACUGCUAUUUAAUAUUUGCACAAAAGGUUUGCAAGACAGAGUCCUCAGCAUUGCUUUGUUUGAGAAGCUAAUAGGGUUUCUAGGAAACCAGCAGGGUCUGGAGGGCCAUCAGAUCAGCCUGUUAGUGGCUUUGAAGGACAAUUAGGCCUGAUGGAGUUACAGGGUGGUUGGCUAAAGGAUGGCAGUCCCUGAGCCAGGGCCUGAUGCUGGGGCAUUCAAAGUCAGUGGUAGAACUUCCACUCAUAGCUGUGCUUUAUGAGAAGCCAACUGGAGAGGAUCCAGUUUUCACACCCUGGGUAGGUCCAUGUCCUGGUUGAAAUGGAAGCUCCAUUUGCUCCUAUGCAGAGCAUCAGAAGGGAUUUGAGAGUGAACAGGUUUGACAGACAAACUGUUGGGAGGAAUAUUAGCAAUUAUUUUUUGGCCCUGGUCUUAGGUUUGUCCCUGUAUAUUAGCAGUCCUUGGAAAGUUCCCCCAAAGUCUAACAGCUGCCUUUGGCUUGGCCCCCACAUUUCUUGCAUUGGUUCAUAGUAGCCUGUAUCGUUCUACAAAUUCCUUAUUAAGUGAAUUGAAGUUCCCAUUCAUAAAGAUAUAAUUAACCAAUAAAUAUACCUGCAGAAAUUUCCAAACGUAGAUGUCUGAAGGUGAGAUCCAAGUUUAAGCUCCUAAAUACAUGGCCCAACUUUAAAAUCCCCACAUCCAUCUUCUUGCUUCAAGUGAAAUGGAAGCUUCCUACUAUUCAGUGCUCAGAUGGCUGUGGGGUACCAAAACACAGACCAAGGUGAUGUUUUGGCACACGGGUUUAUAGAGUGAUCAAAGUAGUGUGACAUCAUUGCACAACAACUGCAUCAGAUGAUAAAAUGCCAUGUACUCAUAACAUGUUGUAUGGAUGCUG